rnacentral:rRNA from 1 species
GACGAACGCUGGCGGCGUGCUUAACACAUGCAAGUCGAACGGAAAGGCCCUGCUUUUGUGGGGUGCUCGAGUGGCGAACGGGUGAGUAACACGUGAGUAACCUGCCCUUGACUUUGGGAUAACUUCAGGAAACUGGGGCUAAUACCGGAUAGGAGCUCCUGCUGCAUGGUGGGGGUUGGAAAGUUUCGGCGGUUGGGGAUGGACUCGCGGCUUAUCAGCUUGUUGGUGGGGUAGUGGCUUACCAAGGCUUUGACGGGUAGCCGGCCUGAGAGGGUGACCGGCCACAUUGGGACUGAGAUACGGCCCAGACUCCUACGGGAGGCAGCAGUGGGGAAUAUUGCACAGAGGGCGGAAGCCUGAUGCAGCAACGCCGCGUGCGGGAUGACGGCCUUCGGGUUGUAAACCGCUUUCGCCUGUGACGAAGCGUGAGUGACGGUAAUGGGUAAAGAAGCACCGGCUAACUACGUG